CAGUAGCCACGGUAAUACAGAGGAUGCAAGCGUUAUCCGGAAUGAUUGGGCGUAGAGCGUCUGUAGGUGGCUUUUCAAGUCCGCCGUCAAAUCCCGGGGCUCAACCCCGGAACUGCCUUUGAUACUGGGAGUCUUGAGUUCGAGAGAGGUGAGUGGAAUUGCGAGUGUAGAGGUGAAAUUCGUAGAUAUUCGCAGGAACACCAGUGGCGAAGGCGGCCAUCUGGGACAACACUGACGCUGAGGCACGAAAGCGUGGGGAGCAAACAGGAUUAGAUACCCCGGUAGUCCCUGUCUCUUAUAC
rnacentral:rRNA from 1 species